UACAGAGGGUGCGAGCGUUAAUCGGAAUUACUGGGCGUAAAGCGUGCGUAGUCGGUUAUUUAAGUCGGAUGUGAAAUCCCCGGGCUCAACCUGGGAAUUGCAUUCGAUACUGGAUAGCUAGAGUUCGGCAGAGGGAAGCGGAAUUUCGGGUGUAGCGGUGAAAUGCGUAGGUAUCUGGAGGAACACCGGUGGCGAAGGCGGCGUUCUGGACUGUUUCUGACACUGUAAAACGAAAGCCAGGGGAGCAAACGGG
rnacentral:rRNA from 1 species